GGGGAAUUUUGGACAAUGGGCGCAAGCCUGAUCCAGCCAUGCCGCGUGCAGGAUGAAGGCCCUCGGGUUGUAAACUGCUUUUGUACGGAACGAAAAGCCUCUUUCUAAUAAAGAGGGGUGAUGACGGUACCGUAAGAAUAAGCACCGGCUAACUACGUGCCAGCAGCCGCGGUAAUACGUAGGGUGCGAGCGUUAAUCGGAAUUACUGGGCGUAAAGCGUGCGCAGGCGGUCUUGCAAGACAGUGGUGAAAUCCCCGGGCUCAACCUGGGAACUGCCAUUGUGACUGCAAGGCUGGAGUACGGCAGAGGGAGAUGGAAUUCCGCGUGUAGCAGUGAAAUGCGUAGAUAUGCUGAGGAACACCGAUGGCGAAGGCAGUCCCCUGGGCCUGUACUGACGCUCAUGCACGAAAGCGUGGGGAGCAAACA
rnacentral:rRNA from 1 species